UCUCUGCCUGCUUGUGAUCUCUAUCUGUCAAAUAAAUAAAUUAAAAAAAUAAUAAUAAUAACGGGCCCUCACCCGGUGCUUGCUGCAUACUAGACCCUGUUCUAAGAACUUGGGGUAUGCUGGACCUCCCAACAGCCCUUUGAAGUAGGUAUUAUUACCGUCCCCAUUUCCGGAUGAGAAAACCGAGGCACAGAGAGCUGUCUGGGGACGAUCUGGCUCCGGAGUCUGCCCUUCUAACAGCCGCACUGCCAGGCACUACAUUGAAGAGUAACAAAUGGAAGUUGAAUUCUCAAGCAUCAUCAGGGAACGGAGGGUACGACAUGAGUGAGUUUCCAGCAUUUAAAGAGAUGUUGCUGUUCCUCAGUUUUCAAAAGAAAGAACAGAUUUGGGAGCUUCGCCACCUUGUCCCACAAUGCGGAUGCCCUCAUGAGCCACUUUAUUGACCCAAGAAAUCGGCAGUAAGAUUGGAUGACCUCCCGACGAGGCAGAAGCCUGGCCAGCAUGAUGACUUUGGGAGGAGAGGCCUCUGGGAAAACAGAGCCUGAUGGCAGCCGAGCAGCACUGUUCUCCCAACCCCCACGCCAGACGGUCAUAUUUCCUUUCUCAGGAGGGAGUUUUAGACUCCUUAGUGUCUGGAAGGUUUUCUACCUUGACCCCAAAGGCCUGGUUAACUCCCUGUCGGCAAUGCUCUCCUGCUUCUGUUCUCUGCCCACCACUCCAUAAACUGGAGAAAACAGCUCUGUUCCAUCGGGCGAGUCCCCUUGCUUUGCUCUGGUUUCUCAGCCCUGGGUCUUCGAACCACAGCUCUGUAGACUUGGUUGUGCCAACAGUCUUCCAUCAGUUUCCUUUGCCUUCCUGGCUCUGUCCACGUGUGUGAGAAUUGCAUGGGGUUGUAUACAUUUGCCUCUCAGAGGAGCCUGGGACAUAGAGACCUGGGCUGAAAUUACGGAAAUCUGGUGGCAUCAGAUUUUUUUUUUUUCCACAUGAAAAAGUCAAUAUUUCAGAUCUGCAUUUCCUUCCCUUUUCUGUGAGCCUCUUGUUCCUGCUAAGUGCAGCAGUCACGGCUUACUGCCUGAGGCCCGUCAGUAUAUGUUUGGUCAUUAAAAUGGUUCUCGCUGUUCAAAGGAGUUGUCCCAUGCUGAUCGGUAAUGUGUGUUUCCUUGGCACUGGCAUUAAAAGAAAUGACUCGCUUCAUCAAAGGA